UUUGCACUUCUGGUUUUUCUGUCAAAAAAGCAUCAAAGUUACAACAACAAUUGCAGCUACAGUUUUUGCACAAAUUGCAGCAGCAGCAACAUCCAACAACAUAGCCAAACCUCAAUAUCAUUUUCUGUCAAGAGAGAAACCAGUAGCAGUCACUACUUGCAGCCAGAACAAACCAAUUUCAUUGAUUCACACCCAUCCUACAACUGCCUUCAUUUUCUGCCAUUUGCAUUCUAAUUUCUUCUGUCCAAAACCAACCCUAGCAUCA
rnacentral:lncRNA from 1 species